UGAUGCAGCCAUGCCGCGUGUGUGAAGAAGGCCUUCGGGUUGUAAAGCACUUUCAGUUGUGAGGAAAAGUUAGUAGUUAAUACCUGCUAGCCGUGACGUUAACAACAGAAGAAGCACCGGCUAACUCCGUGCCAGCAGCCGCGGUAAUACGGAGGGUGCGAGCGUUAAUCGGAAUUACUGGGCGUAAAGCGCACGCAGGCGGUUUGUUAAGCUAGAUGUGAAAGCCCCGGGCUCAACCUGGGAUGGUCAUUUAGAACUGGCAGACUAGAGUCUUGGAGAGGGGAGUGGAAUUCCAGGUGUAGCGGUGAAAUGCGUAGAUAUCUGGAGGAACAUCAGUGGCGAAGGCGACUCCCUGGCCAAAGACUGACGCUCAUGUGCGAAAGUGUGGGUAGCGAACAGGAUUAGAUACCCUGGUAGUCCACACCGUAAACGCUGUCUACUAGCUGUUUGUGACUUUAAGUCGUGAGUAGCGAAGCUAACGCGAUAAGUAGACCGCCUGGGAGU
rnacentral:rRNA from 1 species